AGUUCCCUUUGUUUAUUCUGAAAUUUUAUUUUCAAUAAAAUAAAAGGAGCGAACACUUUAUGACAAAACAAGACAAAGAGCUACUUUGAUCAAGAUCAAUCUAUGAUAUUUUUGCAACAAUUACAAAAAUCUAUUGAGAAAAUAUCAGUCAGCCAGUCAAGGGACCUGACCCACGCAUAAGGUGGGGCCUAGUUUUUGUUCAGUCGAAGUU